rnacentral:rRNA from 1 species
AACGUAGGAGACGAACGUUAUCCGGAGUUACUGGGCGUAAAGGGCGUGUAGGCGGUUUGUUAAGUCUGGCGUGAAAGCUCUCGGCUAAACCGGGAGAGGUCGUUGGAUACUGGCGAACUAGAGGAUGGUAGAGGCGUGUGGAAUUCCUGGUGUAGCGGUGAAAUGCGCAGAUAUCAGGAGGAACACCGGUGGCGAAGGCGGAUCUCUGGGCCUUACCUGACGCUGAGGCGCGAAAGCUAGGGGAGCGAACAGG